rnacentral:rRNA from 1 species
CAUAUCAAUAAGCGGAGGAAAAGAAACUAACAAGGAUUCCCCUAGUAACUGCGAGUGAAGCGGGAAAAGCUCAAAUUUAAAAUCUGGCAGCCUUUGGUUGUCCGAGUUGUAAUCUAGAGAAGUGUUAUCCGCGCUGGACCGUGUACAAGUCUCCUGGAAUGGAGCGUCAUAGAGGGUGAGAAUCCCGUCUUUGACACGGACUGCCAGGGCUUUUGUGAUACGCUCUCAAAGAGUCGAGUUGUUUGGGAAUGCAGCUCAAAAUGGGUGGUAAAUUCCAUCUAAAGCUAAAUAUUGGCGAGAGACCGAUAGCGAACAAGUACCGUGAGGGAAAGAUGAAAAGAACUUUGGAAAGAGAGUUAAACAGUACGUGAAAUUGCUGAAAGGGAAACGCUUGAAGUCAGUCGCGUUGUCCAGGGAUCAACCUUGCUUUUGCUUGGUGCACUUUCUGGUUGACGGGUCAGCAUCAAUUUUGACUAUUGGAAAAAGAUUAGGGGAAUGUGGCAUCUUUCGAUGUGUUAUAGCCCUUGGUUGCAUACAAUGGUUGGGAUUGAGGAACUCAGCACGCCGCAAGGCCGGGUUUUUAACCACGUUCGUGCUUAGGAUGCUGGCAUAAUGGCUUUAAUCGACCCGUCUUGAAACACGGACCAAGGAGUCUAACAUGCCUGCGAGUGUUUGGGUGGAAAACCCGAGCGCAUAAUGAAAGUGAAAGUUGAGAUCCCUGUCGUGGGGAGCAUCGACGCCCGGACCAGACCUUUUGUGACGGUUCCGCGGUAGAGCAUGUAUGUUGGGACCCGAAAGAUGGUGAACUAUGCCUGAAUAGGGUGAAGCCAGAGGAAACUCUGGUGGAGGCUCGUAGCGAUUCUGACGUGCAAAUCGAUCGUCAAAUUUGGGUAUAGGGGCGAAAGACUAAUCGAACCAUCUAGUAGCUGG